rnacentral:rRNA from 1 species
AGUGAACGCUGGCGGUAGGCCUAACACAUGCAAGUCGAACGGCAGCACAGUAAGAGCUUGCUCUUACGGGUGGCGAGUAGCGGACGGGUGAGGAAUACAUCGGAAUCUACUUUUUCGUGGGGGAUAACGUAGGGAAACUUACGCUAAUACCGCAUACGACCUACGGGUGAAAGCAGGGGAUCUUCGGACCUUGCGCGAUUGAAUGAGCCGAUGUCGGAUUAGCUAGUUGGCGGGGUAAAGGCCCACCAAGGCGACGAUCCGUAGCUGGUCUGAGAGGAUGAUCAGCCACACUGGAACUGAGACACGGUCCAGACUCCUACGGGAGGCAGCAGUGGGGAAUAUUGGACAAUGGGCGCAAGCCUGAUCCAGCGAUCCCGCGUGGGUGAAGAAGGCGUUCGGGUUGUAAAGCCCUUUUGUUGGGAAAGAAAAGCAGCAGGUUAAUACCCCGCUGUUCUGACGGUAACCAAAGAAUAAGCACCGGCUAACUUCGUG